AGAGUUUGAUCAUGGCUCAGAUUGAACGCUGGCGGCAUGCCUAACACAUGCAAGUCGAACGGUAACAGGCCGCAAGGUGCUGACGAGUGGCGGACGGGUGAGUAAUACGUAGGUAUCUGCCCUGUAGUGGGGGAUAACCCGGGGAAACUCGGGCUAAUACCGCAUACGCUCUUUUAUCGUUGAGAUAGGAGAGGAAAGCGAGGGACCGAAAGGCCUCGCGCUAGAGGAUGAGCCUACGCCCGAUUAGCUAGUUGGUAGGGUAAAAGCCUACCAAGGCGACGAUCGGUAGCUGGUCUGAGAGGAUGGCCAGCCACACUGGGACUGAGACACGGCCCAGACUCCUACGGGAGGCAGCAGUGGGGAAUAUUGGACAAUGGGGGAAACCCUGAUCCAGCGAUGCCGCGUGGGUGAAGAAGGCCUGCGGGUUGUAAAGCCCUUUCAGUGGGGAAGAAAAACGGGGUGUGAAAAGCGCUUCGUCUUGACGUUACCCACAGAAGAAGCACCGGCUAACUCCGUGCCAGCAGCCGCGGUAAUACGGAGGGUGCGAGCGUUAAUCGGAAUUACUGGGCGUAAAGGGCGCGUAGGCGGUUAGGUAAGUCGAGUGUGAAAGCCCUGGGCUUAACCUGGGAAUGGCAUUCGAGACUACCUAUCUAGAGUCUGGUAGAGGGAAGUGGAAUUUCCGGUGUAGCGGUGAAAUGUGUAGAUAUCGGAAGGAACACCAGUGGCGAAGGCGACUUCCUGGACCAAGACUGACGCUGAGGCGCGAAAGCGUGGGGAUCAAACAGGAUUAGAUACCCCGGUAGUCC
rnacentral:rRNA from 1 species